AUAUAAUUAAAAUAAAAUACUUUUUAAGGUUGUUUGUGUUCCUAAAUACAGUUUUUUCAAAUGAAUAACAAUUUCCAUACAUAAAUACAAGAGAUGCAUACAAAUAUUAAAAAUACCCUUCAUUUUCUAAUUCACUGUGUUCAAAAAAACAUGGCUUAUUAUUUAGUUCGUAAGUGGAAAUAUAUUUUAAACAAUCGAAUACUAGCUUAACAAGCAAGGACGGAGGUGUGGAGAGGAAAAAAUAUUACUUAAUGAGUCAACAAGAUAAAAACAAGGAAUCGAAAAAAAACAGAAUAAGCCAAGCAACAAUAAAAAAUCAAUUUAGUUCAAAAAAA
rnacentral:lncRNA from 1 species